rnacentral:lncRNA from 1 species
UCUUUCACACUCUGUGGUGACUGCAGGGUCCGUCUGGUGGGGGUGGGGCCGUGGCUGGACUCUCCUUCCCGCCCCCAGGUUGUUUUCCAAACUUUCAGUAUCGUGAGUAGAAGGAGGGGCCCUGCCUGGGGAGGGCCGUGUGAAUCACCCCAUGGAAAUACUGGCGCCCUGGGCUGGGGGCAGGGUGGGCCUGGUUUCCAGGAAGGGCUUGGGCAGGAAGCCAGGCAGGAAGAGGCUGGGGAGUUUCUGGAAAGGCAGCGCGGAGGGGCCUGGGGAGGCCAGUGGACCUCUCGGGGCAGGGCACUGGCCUCCCCUCUCACAGAUGGGGAAUCCUUGGCACUUCCUGGCACAUGCCAGGGCAUGGGGGUGGGGGCAGAAGGCCAGGGAAGGAGGUGGCGGCCGAUCCUCAGCAGGCCUCUAGGGUGGGUGGCCGUGGACAAAGAGGGGAGGGUGGGAUGGACUUGGAGGAGGUGCCCUAGGGGCUCCUUUGAGCCUGGCCCCAGCACCUACAGCCUGUGCUUGGGGCUGAGGGUCCCAUUGUAUGACCUGUAGUUUCAGCCAGAAGGAUACUUGGAAUAAGAGGGGACAAAGGAGGCGGCAGUUUAAAGCGGUCGCUGAGCAGAGAAUCCCGCUGAUGGAUGGGGACGGUGCUGCUCCAUAGGGGGCCCUCUCUCAGACUUCUGUAGCCCCCAUGGCAUUUAGCCAAGAGAGGCUCCCUCCCCACACAAGUGAACUUACAGGACAGAAAUCCAGAAUGCAAGUGGGAUAAGCAGUGUAGAAGUGUUUCUCUCUCAAGGCGGAGUGGUUGAUUCACUCAUUCAUCCACUCGUCUGUGCACGCAUUUGCUCCAAAAACACUGCUAAGCUCCAGGCUGCCCACUCCUCAUUCAUGAAGGUCCUGCCACCUUCAGAUCCUGUGCCCCAUCCCACAGUGACUGGCCUAGGGUAGAAAUGCCAUCCCAGCUGGCCCAACUUGGGCAAAUAUCAGGACUCUGGCAGGCAAUACCUGGACAAAGAUUUACACCUGGGAGAACGAGGGCCCUAAAGCAGCUGGAGGCCACUUGUCAACCUACAGGAAGAACUGUACUGAGAGUGGAUCCAAUGGAGAAGGGAGCAGACCCAACAGGUGGGGAGAGACUGGCUCCUUGGAUGCUGUUUGAGCGCCUGGAUUCACCUGCACCUGAAGCAAAGUGCUACACCCAGAAAACAAUGUCCACUGAAGCCAGUUUGAAGCUGGUGCUCUGUUGUCUACAACCCAAGAAUGCUAGCUGACAGGGAUGAGUUGAGGGUGCGUGGGCACAGAGCACCACCAGGACCGGGUGAGUGAGAAGGAGAGCGGGGCAAGCCGCGGAGGGGGUGGGGGAGGGCACUGGCCCCACUGCAGGGGCAGCCUCCACCCUACCGCCACAGCCCCUUCCUCCAUCUCACCAGGACCCAACUCGCUGACAUCAUCACGGUGGGAAACAGGAACUCCUCGACCUCAGGCCAAAAGAUCCAUCUGUUAGAGCCAUCGGGCCAGCCAAGGCUGCUCAGAGAGGCAGGUGGAGGCCAUGUCAUUUCUAACUGACCCGGGAAGAACCAUGUGGUGUGCAGGGUGGGGGUCCCUGCCCACCCAUACUGGGCAUCAUCCAUGCUUAGUGAUCACAUCCAGCUCAGCAACCACAAGCACAGAGGCCAGCGUGUCCCGCGUGGGACACAACGCAGGGUCCUUGCUGCUCUAGCCGCUGCUCAGGCCACUUAUGCUGGCGCCCUAAGAAGUCUCCCUCCUCACAUGUCCUCCCUGGAGUUUAAGCCGAGCUCUCCCCUCCAGUGGACAUCCUCCUUCCCAGCCUCAUGAAAGAUUCAAGACAGAUAGAUAGUUUUUGUUUUUUUUUUUUGAGACGGGGUUUCGCUCUUGUUGUCCAGGCUGGAGUGCAAUGGCGCAAUCUUGGUUCACUGCAACCUCCACCUCCCAGGUUCAAGUGAUUCUCCUGCCUCAGCCUCCCGAGUAGCUAAAGCUGAGAUUACAGGCAUGCGCCACCACACCCGGGUAAUUUUUUGUAUUUUUAGUAGAGACGGGGUUUCUCCAUGUUAGUCAGGCUGGUCUCCACCUCAGGUGAUCCGCCUACCUUGGCCUCCCAAAGUGCUGGGAUUACAGGCGUGAGCCACCACGCCCGACCUGAUGCAAAAUAUUUUUUAAAAGCUCUUCCUUAAAAAUCUGUGUAGGAUGGACUUACUGCAACCUAGCAGGCACCUAAAGAGACCAGGGAUAAAAGUCGACCCACGAGAGCCCCAGGAGAAAGGACAACUGCUGCCGAGGCAGAAAGCCUCCAGGACAGCCUGUGGGAGCUGUUGAAAGGCAAUGCAGGCAGCAAACACCACAGGACAGAGGGGAGGGCUGCCGCAGUAGUGUGGGCUUGAAGACCGUUCCCCUGUGGGUCCCUCCCAGCACAGGGGAACAGGAAGACAUGGUGUGGUCCCUUCUUCACAGAGCGAGCAGUCUGUGGAGAAGACGGGGCUCAUCGGGCAAUGCCUCCACUGGGGCCAGAAAAGGCUUCCCCUGGCUGGACCUGCAGGACGAGGGUCAGGGCUCAGCCAGGUGGCCAGCCCUCAGCGUCUGCUCCCACCUCCUUCUGUGUCCCAGACCCUAAGGCAGAGGCUGGGAAACUAACAAACUACAUUCCCCAGCCUCCUUCACAACUGAGUUCAAAUUAGGUUCCGCCAAUAAUGUGCACUUUUGUGAUGUGGAAGGCAAAUGGAAGAGAGACACCAUCUCCACGUGACUUUGGGGGAUUUUUCUGCUGGUAAGUGAGGCAUGGAGUUGGUGGGUCUCUCUGCAAGGACAAUCCAGGGUCCUGGCUUCAGCUUCUCGGGUGUACAACAGCAGCUGCAGCAGUUGAAGUGGCUUCUAAUCCCUGGAUCAUAGCUGAGAAGCUACAUUCUUUUUUUUUCUUUUCUUUUUUGAGAUAGUGUCUUGCUCUGUCACCCAGGCUGGAGUGCAGUGGUGCAAUCGCAGCUCACUGUAGCUUUGACCUCUCAGGCUCAAGCAAUCCUCCCGCCUCAGCCUCCCGAGUAGCUGGGACCACAGGUGUAUGGGUCACCACACCUGGCUAAUUUUUUUUUUUUAAUUUUCUGUAGAAACAGAGUUUCACUAUAUUGACAACACAGGUCUCAAACUCCUGGGCUUAAGGGAUCUUCCCACCUCGGCCUCCCAAAGUGCUGGGAUUACAGGGCUGAGCCACUGCACCUGGCCUCAGAUGCUAUGUCCUUAAACCAGCAGUUCCCAUGGUGAUCUCAUGACUCCCCUACUCCCCAAUUACAGCAGAGGUCUGGUGGCAGAUCCCCUGACAAGCCAGUUCCGCAGUGUUUUUCUGGGACCAUCUUCAGCCUCGACACAGUCCACCAGCCUCUCCACAGGUAUUGAAGCACCCAAGUCCCUGUAUUAAAUCUCCUCCCACUUAAAACACCUAGAGUGACUUCUGUUUCCUACAACCAAUACAUCAGGCAAAGAGGGCACCAAAUAAUGUUCCAGAUGAAGCCACUGGCAUGAGUGUAAUCACCUAGCCAAGGAUGGAGGAGGGCAGGGUAGAGGCAGGGGCGGGGGCCUAGUUCGGAGUUACUGCAUGAUGUGAUGAGAGCAGGAACUAAGGCAAGGACACUGGAUGGAGCAGCAGGAAGGAUGGGGGUGAGGAAUAAGCCAGACUCGGCCACUGCUUGCCUGAGGCCAUGAAGAAUGACCUUGAGGUCUCAACCCAGGCAGAUGGGACCAAGGAGAUUCCAUGUAUCUAAGGAGGUAAAUAAGGCCAUAUGUGUGAGCACGUAGGGGGACCUUGGCAUCAGGCAUGCAAGGGGAAGACAGACACACCCCCAAGCCUCAUGGGGCUUUUAUUCCAGCAAGGGAGAUGGAUGACCCAGUGGAUAAAAUAAUUUCCAAAAUGACAACUACUGCAGAAAAGUCCGAGGGAGAUUGGAAUAGAAAGCAAUGAAUGGUUGGAGAAGGCCUCUCAGAAGAGGGGAC